rnacentral:rRNA from 1 species
UUAGUAACGGCGAGUGAAGCGGCAAAAGCUCAAAUUUGAAAUCUGGCACCUUCGGUGUCCGAGUUGUAAUUUGAAGAAGGUAACUUUGGAGUUGGCUCUUGUCUAUGUUCCUUGGAACAGGACGUCACAGAGGGUGAGAAUCCCGUGCGAUGAGAUGCCCAAUUCUAUGUAAAGUGCUUUCGAAGAGUCGAGUUGUUUGGGAAUGCAGCUCUAAGUGGGUGGUAAAUUCCAUCUAAAGCUAAAUAUUGGCGAGAGACCGAUAGCGAACAAGUACAGUGAUGGAAAGAUGAAAAGAACUUUGAAAAGAGAGUGAAAAAGUACGUGAAAUUGUUGAAAGGGAAGGGCUUGAGAUCAGACUUGGUAUUUUGCGAUCCUUUCCUUCUUGGUUGGGUUCCUCGCAGCUUACUGGGCCAGCAUCGGUUUGGAUGGUAGGAUAAUGACUAAGGAAUGUGGCUCUACUUCGGUGGAGUGUUAUAGCCUUGGUUGAUACUGCCUGUCUAGACCGAGGACUGCGUCUUUUGACUAGGAUGUUGGCAUAAUGAUCUUAAGCCACCCGUCUUGA